AAUCCUACGGGGGGCAGCAGUAGGGAAUCUUUCACAAUGGGCGAAAGCCUGAUGGAGCAACGCCGCGUGCAGGAUGAAGGCCUUCGGGUUGUAAACUGCUUUUAUAAGCGAGAAAUAUGAUGCUAACUUAUGAAUAAGGACCGGCUAACUACGUGACAGCAGCCGCGGUCAUACGUAGGAUCCGAGCAUUAUCCGGAGUGACUGGGGGUAAAGAGUUGCGUAGGGGGCAUA
rnacentral:rRNA from 1 species